rnacentral:lncRNA from 1 species
AGAGGAGACCCAGAGCCCCCUCCCUGCUCAUCCCCAGAGCCUCAGAACUGCCUGGUGGAGCAGGGGAUGCUGGAGAGGAAGGAGCCAGAAGCUGGCAGAGCAGGGAUGCCCAUGGAGCAGGGACCUGCCCUCCUGGCCUCCCCAAGAGGUGGGAUGGGCACAGGGAGGGGGUCUCUGCUUCCAGUUGCCGCCUGCUUCAGAUGCCCCGGCUUGAGAGGAGCCUGCCAACUGCUCUCCAUAGAAAAAUGGAUUAUUCUACAGGCAGAUUAAUGGGCUUUCAUUUUGCAAAACAUCUGUCACUGUUAGUCCUGGACAGUGAGCGUGAAAUUAGUUUUGACUGCAAAAAGGCAGCGUCGGUGUGUAAUAUGUGACUUACAUGACAAGAGCCCAGGAGUCAGCUGGGGAAUGGGAAUUACCUGUUGAAGGGAGAAGGGCAGUGGGAUGUGCCCUGGGAUCGGGUGUCCUUGCUGUGCCCAGCACCAGCCUUGCAGCUCCUGCCCUGAGGCUGGUGGAGCAUCAAACCUCACCUUGAACACCAUUCCAGCACUGCCUCCCCGCUCCUUUCAUUUAACCCCAAACUUUCCCUCCUUUCCCCGUUUCCUCCUUUCCCUUUUGGAUCCCACGGGGCCUUUGGGCUCUCAGCUGGUGGCCUUGUGUCUUGCAGAUGUACAGUCACCAUCUCGGUGAGUCUGAGUGCCUCGGUGUCGCUGGGCAUGCUCUACAUGCCCAAGGUGUACAUCAUCCUCUUCCACCCGGAGCAGAACGUCCCCAAGCGCAAGAGGAGCCUCAAGGCCGUGGUGACAGCGGCCACCAUGUCCAACAAGUUCUCCCAGAAGGGAGGGUUCCGCCCCAACGGAGAGGCCAAGUCGGAGCUCUGCGAGAACCUGGAAACGCAAGCACUGGCCACCAAGCAGACCUACGUCAGCUACAGCAACCACGCCAUUUAGCUCCAGGAGCAGCGAGCAGGAGGGAGCGGGUUCCUGGCAGGGACAGCACCGCAGCACAGGCAGGUGGCAGCCAGGGGACAGCCCCAGGGCAGAAUCCCGGGGGAAAACGCCAUCAACAGCAGCAAAAAAAAAAUCCAUAAAGAAACACUAAAACUCUUCCAGCGCCCACGGUGGCGAUGCAUGGCUCCCACAGAGGGGGGACGGAGCACGGGCAAGAGGGCACGGACUUCAGCAAGUCUUUGGGUUUUGUUUUUUCCUGUAUUUUGGCAAAAAAGAGGGAAAAAAAAAAAAUAAGAGCCCCAACAUUUUCCCGUUUCUGGAAUUUGUGAGAUUGUUUGUGGUUGUGCAGAACCUUCUGUUUUCUCUUUUUAUUUUUUUUUUAAUCUUCCAUUUUCUUUCGUUCCUGUCUUCCUCCGUCCCUCUUCACUCUCUACCCCAUAUCCUACCAAAUUCUAUAUGUUGCAAAAAGGAAAAAUAAAUAAAAAUACUUAAAAUUUACAUUAAGAAAAAAAAAAACAGACAGCAAAAUAAAAUAAAAUAAAACCUAGACUGUGUUCAAAGUGCUGAUUUCUAUAGGUGGUUCCUUAAUGUAUGUGAUGACCAUAUGGAUUGAAAUAUGUCUGCUUUAUGUACUGACCAGUCAAAAAACAAAAACACACAAAAAAACUAAAGUUCAGUGCCUGGAUGUUUAUGAAUUAUUCGAUGACUGUGUAGAGCAUGAUCAUUUUUAUACGAGGAGAUUUCUAAUAAAAGACCCUGGUUUUGCACUCGGCGUUUGCUGUCUCUUGGUGACUUGGUUUCAGGAGGUGCCAGGGAAGGCUUUGGGUGGCCAAACCCUCUGGGAGAGC